rnacentral:SRP_RNA from 1 species
GCUGGGUGUGGUGGCGUGCACCUGUAAUCCCAGCUACUCAGAAGGCUGAGGCAGGAGAAUUGUUUGAACCUGGGAGGUGGAGGUUGCAAUGCGCUGAGAUCAAGCCAUUGCACUCCAGCCUGGGUGACAGAGCGAGACCCUGUCUCAA